AAUGAACGUUGGCGGCGUGGAUUAGGCAUGCAAGUCGUGCGGCAGCAAGUUCUUCGGAAUGUUGGCGAGCGGCGAAAGGGAGAGUAACAGGUAGAUAUGUGCCCUUGGGACCAGGAUAGCGUCGGGAAACUGGCGGUAAUACUGGAUAACAUCUCCGGAUCAAAUGGUGUGAUUCCGCCCAAGGAUCGGUCUGCUUCCUAUUAGCUUGUUGGCGGGGUAAUGGCCCACCAAGGCUAAGAUGGGUACCGGGUGUGAGAGCAUGACCCGGCUCACUGGGACUGAGACACUGCCCAGACACCUACGGGUGGCUGCAGUCGAGAAUCUUCGGCAAUGGACGCAAGUCUGACCGAGCGACGCCGCGUGCGGGAUGAAGGCCCUCGGGUUGUAAACCGCUGUCAGUUGGGAGGAAAUGUUAUGGGGUUCUCCCUGUAAUUUGACCGAUCUUCAGAGGAAGGACGGGCUAAGUUCGUGCCAGCAGCCGCCGUAACAC
rnacentral:rRNA from 1 species